rnacentral:rRNA from 1 species
GUUGGAUGCACCAGAAGUAGGUAGCUUAACCGAAAGGAGGCGCUUACCACGGUGUGUUCAAUGACUGGGGUGAAGUCGUAACAAGGUAGCCGUAGGUGAACCUGCAGAAGGAUCA